GUCCAACGGAAUUGUGUCAUUAUUAUUAAAACGUUUGUUUUGAUGAAACAGUCAUGAAAAUGCCACAACAUUGUCAAUAUAAUUUGCAAUGGAUAUAUAUGCCAAUCUUGCUCGCAGCUAUAACAGUAUUAGUUUCGUCAGAAAAAAUGAUGAACAGUUGCUUUAGCCAAUGCAAUAAGCUACAUGAUAAAUGACGUGUAAUCAUUUAAAGAUCAAUAAGAUGAACUUUUUAUUUCCUGAAUUGCUGUUUUGAACUGUAAGACAUUAAGACCUUGUUUCAAAUCUACGCUGCCAGUAAAUAGCCAUACCGCCCAAUGUACCAAUAAAACUAGCGCGUGGCGUCGUUCUCUCCUCAUACCGAUAUCGAUGAGCAGACGAACCUGAUCCUCCAUCAGUACCACAGUGCCGUGACACGUCUGCAAGAAUCCUGGUGACAGAACAAAUUGUAACACUUAUAAACAACAUCUGGAACUAACUAGAUAUAUUGGAGAUGAUGCAAUACAUGUGCCGACUUACCAUCUUGUUCCUUGUAUGUACGAUCUUGAUGACGUCAUCAGUGCAUAUGGCUUCAGUUUUCAGAGAUCAGGACGAUGUUAUCGACACCAUUUUAGACUCGGAAAUAGCUUCCCUUGACAAAAGAAGAAUGGGAUGGGCAAAAUGUAACCGCAUGUUUAAAUGGAGAUGUGGAAAAUCUAAAACCGUUCACCGGAAGAGGAACCUAGUUUUCGGAGAAAUCUGAUGAACGAAGAAGCGUUGCCAUUUCCCCUCAUUAAUACACAUAUGUCUGCAAAUAUUACUCUUUAAUCUGAAAUCACGUAAACAUUUUCACUUGUUUUGCCUGUUAUCUGAACGCGAAGUAAACAAGAGCAAACAUCCUAAAUACGCACGUUUCAACAAAAGAAGCCAGUUUGGCAUUCACAGAAAAAUAUAAGAGAACAGUUUGAAUUUAUUUUUAUAUAUCGGUCACCAUCAAAUGUUCCUUCCGGUUUACACACUUUAGCGUUAAGAUGUUUCAGCAUGAUGACACUUUAAACUGACCAAUGAGAGUAAUCCUAUCACCGGUCGUCAAGAUAAUUAUAAAACAAGUACACAAACCAAAUUUCAUUGUAUAUAAAAUGUUUAUCAAAAUAAACUUAUAUUCUGUC